UUCUCACUAGCUCAAUGGUAGGGCAGUCGAUUGUUAACUGAUUGGUCGUAGGUUCAAAUCCUCCUUGGGAAA